AUUGAACGCUGGCGGCAUGCCUUACACAUGCAAGUCGAACGGCAGCGCGGGAGCAAUCCUGGCGGCGAGUGGCGAACGGGUGAGUAAUAUAUCGGAACGUGCCCAGUAGUGGGGAUAGCCCGGCGAAAGCCGGAUUAAUACCGCAUACGACCUGAGGGUGAAAGCGGGGAUCGCAAGACCUCGCGCUAUUGGAGCGGCCGAUAUCGGAUUAGCUAGUUGGUGGGGUAAAGGCCUACCAAGGCAACGAUCUGUAGUUGGUCUGAGAGGACGACCAGCCACACUGGGACUGAGACACGGCCCAGACUCCUACGGGAGGCAGCAGUGGGGAAUUUUGGACAAUGGGCGCAAGCCUGAUCCAGCAAUGCCGCGUGCAGGAAGAAGGCCUCGGUU
rnacentral:rRNA from 1 species